UUAAAAAAAAAUAUUUUUGACUUGCUUGUUUGCUUUGUUGAAGUAAAAUUAUAUAAUCAUGUUAUACCUCUAUAUUAUUUGUAUAUUGCUUGUAUUUUCUUUAUGGUUUAGCAGGGUUUGAGCUUCAAAGUUCAGGACAUAAAGGGUUCAUUUGGAAGAGGAUUCAGAUAGAUACAGGUGCUAGAGAUCAUCAACAGGCGCUCUAUUGAAGAUCUAUUUCUUUCCUUAUAGUGAUAUAGGUGCUAGAGAUGAUCAACAAGCACUUCAUUGAAGAUCUAGUUCUUUCCUGAUAGUGAUCCGAGCACCAGCUACCAGCAUUGAGGUCAAGCCAGCAGCAGUCUGAUUAGAAGACAAGGAUGAGCACAUAGCGUCCUGGAUUUACCUGUCUCCAUCUAUAUAUACUAUGACUAGUCUUUUGCUUCUUGAGACAAGUCUUGUUUCUGUGAUCCACUUUUCAGACUUGUAUUCAUUUUGUAGUAGAUUUGUACACGUGACUUAUAGUUUUGGGGAGGGAUCAUUCAUCUGUAUAUAUUUAUUAUUUGCUUUCGCUUUUGUUUCUGUAA